CUGGCUCAGAACGAACGCUGGCGGCGUGCUUAACACAUGCAAGUCGAACGCGAAAGGGACUUCGGUCCUGAGUAAAGUGGCGCACGGGUGAGUAACGCGUAGAUAACCUGUCUUCAUGUCUGGAAUAAUACGCCAAAGGGGUACUAAUACCGGAUAUUCUUGCUUUUCAUAAGUUAUGCAAGCAAAGGUGGCCUCUGCAUAUGCUACUGCAUGAAGAGGGGUCUGCGUACCAUUAGCUAGUAGGUGGGGUAAUGGCCUACCUAGGCGACGAUGGUUAGCGGGUCUGAGAGGAUGAUCCGCCACACUGGCACUGGAACACGGGCCAGACUCCUACGGGAGGCAGCAGUGAGGAAUAUUGCGCAAUGGGGGAAACCCUGACGCAGCGACGCCGCGUGAGUGAGGAAGGCCUUCGGGUCGUAAAGCUCUGUCAAGAGGAAAGAAGUGUACAAUGGCUAAUACCUGUUGUAUUUGACGGUACCUCUAAAGGAAGCACCGGCUAACUCCGUGCCAGCCGCCGC
rnacentral:rRNA from 1 species